AGAGUUUGAUCCUGGCUCAGAUUGAACGCUGGCGGCGUGCCUAAUACAUGCAAGUCGAGCGGUAACAGGUGUAGCAAUACAUGCUGACGAGCGGCGAACGGGUGAGUAACGCUUCGGAAUCUGCCUAGUAGUGGGGAAUAACUAACCGAAAGGUUAGCUAAUGCCGCAUACGAACUACGGUUGAAAGCGGGGGAUCGUAAGACCUCGCGCUAUUAGAUGAGCCGAAGUCGGAUUAGCUAGUUGGUAGGGUAACGGCCUACCAAGGCGACAAUCCGUAGCUGGUCUGAGAGGACGACCAGCCACACUGGGACUGAGACACGGCCCAGACUCCUACGGGAGGCAGCAGUAGGGAAUAUUGGACAAUGGGGGCAACCCUGAUCCAGCGACGCCGCGUGUGUGAAGAAGGCCUGCGGGUUGUAAAGCACUUUUAGUGGGGAUGAAAAGCUCAGGGCUAAUAACUCUGAGUCUUGACCUAACCCAAAGAAAAAGCACCGGCUAACUCUGUGCCAGCAGCCGCGGUAAUACAGAGGGUGCGAGCGUUAAUCGGAAUUACUGGGCGUAAAGCGCGCGUAGACGGUUUUGUAAGUCGGAUGUGAAAUCCCCGGGCUCAACCUGGGAAUUGCAUUCGAAACUGCAAAGCUUGGGUGCGGAAGAGGGAAGCGGAAUUUCCGGUGUAGCGGUGAAAUGCGUAGAUAUCGGAAGGAACAUCAGUGGCGAAGGCGGCUUCCUGGUCCAGCACCGACGUUCAGGCACGAAAGCGUGGGGAGCAAACAGGAUUAGAUACCCUAGUAGUCC
rnacentral:rRNA from 1 species